rnacentral:rRNA from 1 species
UACGGGGGGGGGCAAGCGUUGUUCGGAAUUACUGGGCGUAAAGGGCUCGUAGGUGGCCAACUAAGUCAGACGUGAAAUCCCUCAGCUUAACUGGGGAACUGCGUCUGAUACUGGAUGGCUUGAGUUUGGGAGAGGGAUGCGGAAUUCCAGGUGUAGCGGUGAAAUGCGUAGAUAUCUGGAGGAACACCGGUGGCGAAGGCGGCAUCCUGGACCAACACUGACACUGAGGAGCGAAGGCCAGGGGAGCAAACGGG